AGCUCCUCCCGCCCGGCAGCGGUGGUCAAGGGGGUCUCUGAGAGGCCAGAGCCCCGCGCCGCCGGGCUCCGAGUUCUCCGCCGGACUCCCCUCCCACUCCGUCUGUCAAAAAUAAAGUUUCCGAGUGGACGCAGGGUGGUCCAGAAGGCCUUUCCAGCGGCCCGGCAGGCAGGAGCUGAGGGAAAGCCAACGCAGGUGUCAGGGAAGUCCUGAACUUCGGGGGUGCUCGCUCGCAUCCACCCUUGAGCAGGACAAGCGGAGUAACAGGUGAAUCCACCGUUUGUCAGUCACACCUGUGCAGAAAUGUGAUUGCCGUGAUUAUCUCACCUUGCGGAGAAGCCAGUGCCAAACGCCUGCUGCUUCUGCUGUGUGACCUUCAUGCGGCUCAGCUGCGAGCAGUGCUGGGCUUUGGGGGCCCUUUGCUGCUCCGGCUGUCCUGGUGGCCGCCUUACCGAGGUCUAGGUGAACUCAAGGUUAAUUGGAGUAGAUGAUUGAUGAGAUGUCCCCGAAUAUCUGUUCAGUUUCUUACUGUGCACUGGGAGAUAGCCCCUCCACUAGAACUGUGUAUAAAUAGCCCUUGUAAACAGCUUUAAGU